GACGAACGCUGGCGGCGUGCUUAAUACAUGCAAGUCGAACGGAGCCUAGCCGGUAGUUUACUACAGGCGAAAGCUUAGUGGCGGACGGGUGAGUAACGCGUGGGCAAUCUGCCCCUAAGUCCGGGAUAACAGAGCGAAAGUUCUGCUAAGACCGGAUACUCUUCCUUGGUCGCAUGGCGGAGGAAGGAAAGGAUACGCUUAGGGAUGAGCCCGCGUCCCAUUAGCUAGUUGGUGAGGUAACGGCCCACCAAGGCGACGAUGGGUAGCCGGCCUGAGAGGGUGGACGGGCCACACUGGGACUGAGACACGGCCCAGACUCCUACGGGAGGCAGCAGUAGGGAAUUUCGCAAUGGGGGAACCUGACGGAGCAACGCCGCGUGAGGGAAGAAGGUCUUCGGAUCGUAAACCUUUGUCAUCGAGGACGAAAACUGACGGUACUCGAGGAGGAAGCCCCGGCUAACUACGUG
rnacentral:rRNA from 1 species